rnacentral:rRNA from 1 species
CAGUAGCCGCGGUAAUACGAAGGGGGCUAGCGUUGCUCGGAAUGACUGGGCGUAAAGCGUGCGCAGGCGGUUCGUUAAGACAGAUGUGAAAUCCCCGGGCUUAACCUGGGAACUGCAUUUGUGACUGGCGAGCUAGAGUAUGGCAGAGGGGGGUAGAAUUCCACGUGUAGCAGUGAAAUGCGUAGAGAUGUGGAGGAAUACCGAUGGCGAAGGCAGCCCCCUGGGCCAAUACUGACGCUCAUGCACGAAAGCGUGGGGAGCAAACAGGAUUAGAUACCCCUGUAGUCCCUGUCUCUUAUAC